AGGAAUCAAACAGUUGAUCAUCGGACUCAAAAAAGCAUGUCUGAGGGUUUGUCAGAAUUGGUGACAGUGUAGAAGCUAUGGAGCACUGCAGUUCUGUGCCUAUAUGAAGCUGGAAAGUAUAGUAGAGUGCGACUAUUGGAUUUGUUUUGUCAAGCUCUCAGUCAACAUUUAUACCUUUCAAGGGUUUCUGAUUGUGAUGUGGGGGAUGAAAAAGAUCGUGAUUUGUCCUCAACAAAUGAUCCCAGACAACAAUAUUCCAUCAUGAAAAGCGGUGGUAUUAUUGGCAAAAUAGUAUGCAAAGUGAGGGAUCUCCCUACAGGGAUGCUAUAUCAGUUGAUUGAGAGUUGGGAAAAACUUACUGCUGAUGUUUCAGAGGUAUGUUUAAACUUGAAUAUAUGGUUGUGGGGAAUGUUAAUUUUUCUGAAUUAACUUUUUU